GACGAACGCUGGCGGCGUGCUUAACACAUGCAAGUCGAACAGAAAGGCCCUGCUUUUGUGGGGUGCUCGAGUGGCGAACGGGUGAGUAACACGUGAGUAACCUGCCCUUGACUUUGGGAUAACUUCAGGAAACUGGGGCUAAUACCGGAUAGGAGCUCCUGCUGCAUGGUGGGGGUUGGAAAGUUUCGGCGGUUGGGGAUGGACUCGCGGCUUAUCAGCUUGUUGGUGGGGUAGUGGCUUACCAAGGCUUUGACGGGUAGCCGGCCUGGGAGGGUGACCGGCCACAUUGGGCCUGAGAUACGGCCCAGACUCGUACGGGAGGCAGCGGUGGGGAGUAUUACACAAUGGGCGGAAGCCUGAUGCAGCAACGCCGCGUGCGGGAUGACGUCCUUCGGGUUGUAAACCGCUUUCGCCUGUGACGAGGCGUGAGUGACGGUAAUGGGUAAAGAAGCACCGGCUAACUACGUG
rnacentral:rRNA from 1 species